GGGCAACCCCCCGUUGGCAGG
rnacentral:miRNA from 1 species